rnacentral:tRNA from 1 species
CGCCCAUCGUGGCGGGGCUUCUGGCCCGCCUGGGGGGCGGACCGGCCGCCGUCCAGGCCCUGUCCCGCGCGGCUCAGGACCUGGGCGA